GAGCCUGCAUAAAGCACUUACCAUAUCCUUAAAAAUCCUCUACUGUGCAGAUUCUCCUGAACCACAGAGGAAUUAUGAGGAGAAAGCGCUUUGAAUACCAGGAGAGAUGUUGUCUUGACAGCAUAUGUCCCUUUGCUAUAUGUUGAAGUAUCUUUACAAAAGGAGCAAAGCUGGGAGCUCGCCCGCUGACCCCGUGUAGCGCGUCCUCAAGGAGAAGUGAGGCCUGACACAAGAAAUGAGCAAAACAACGUCCUGGAAUGACAGCACGAUAGAAGAGGGGAGAAUGUGGGCAGAGUUACUCUUGCCCAGCAGAUAAGUCUCUACCUUAAUCAAAAGUCCUGCAUGUGGCUUAGUAUGAAUGGCAAGUACAGCUAUUGCUCAUGUUAAUUACAUAGAUAAGGUCUGCACAGGAUCAGGCCUGUACGUUCCUUUAGCAUCUGUUUUAUCUGAUCAUGUUCCCACAAGACCAGAAAUUCCAGAUACCCUCCUUAUUGACAAAGUUUUGUGGCACACAUUUUCUCCUUCUGUCUUGAAUAGCAUAGAAUGAAAAUGAUUGGGAUGUCUGUUUUUCUUUUGGUGAAUUACAUAACCACUUGUUCCUGAAAAAAGAUUGUGUUAGUGGGAAAUUAUAAUGAUAAUAAUAACAAUAAUAACUGUGAUGGUAGGAGCUAUUGAGAUAACAUUACCAAAAUAUAUUCUGACAUUAAAAACUAAUCCUGGUUCCAACACUUCAGAAAGUGUUGCAGUUACAGAGUCUGAAACUGAAAUUGUUUUCUUGCCAAGGAUUUACAUUCCCAGAAGCUGAAUGUACCUCUGGUCCUCCUGACCCUUUAUUGAUUAGUUCUAUUUUAGUUGCUGAUAAGUGUUGUUGGCAUUGUUUACAACUACAGACUAUGAUAGAGUCAAUAUUAAUUGAGGCGAGAGCAUGCAUCAUCCCUGUAUUCAGCUCUGGCACAAAUUGCUAUUCCUGGAUUGCAAAAGGGAAGGAUGAAGGGUAUUUUUCAAGGUUCUUGAAAGGGAAGUAUAAAUGGAAGACGUCAAAAAGCCUCAAUUUCCUUGUUUUAAUUCUUGUUUUCCUUAAUUUGUCUGGUAAUGUGAAAAUGGGUUUAGUCUGCGUGUAGGACUGACAAAACAAUAAAACAUAAUAGUGUGUCCAUUUUUAAAGCUUUACGUAAAACACCAAUACCCAUAAGGAACAGAUGCAUUAAAACAAUCUGAGGACACGCAAAUCUGCGGGGUACUGAACUAGGGGUUAUAACUAGACAAUUGCUUCCUCUUUCUGAUGUUUAUUGUACUGGCUAGGGGAAAUACUGAGUUUCAAGUUUUUUUAUUCUCAGAACACUUUCGUAACUUUAAUUAAAGGAAGCUUUAGAUAAGAGUGGUAACAGACUAUAUGCAAACAAACCAAUUGUGGAAAUUUCUUUGUGUUUCUGAUGGUGCUCCGAGACCCUCCGACAAAAACUGUAGGCUGAGUAUUCAAUACUAUCAAUGGGAUCUAGAACCGGAGCCAACACAUCUUUCAUCUUUGCUAUAUAUGUUCUCUCCUGUCAUCAGAGGACAAGUUCUGUCAUGGCUCAGACAAGUGCUGUCAUGACUCAAUAUCUGAAGUUGCAGCAUGGAAGCAGAAUAGGUUAGUGGCAGAUAUCACUGAUGUGUCAGCAGAUGAAGCACCCUCAUCUGCUACUGAGCCUUUUCAAAGCUUCUUGUGAAUGCCCCCACUACUCACACCCUAGGAAGUUUUACAGCUGUGUGUGCAGUGCUGGCCACAUGUCCAUCACACAGCAGCUUGGCUGUCCUUUUAAAUGUGCUUCCUUGGUAAACUGUACUUAAAGGAUAAGCAAGCAAUGAUGUGCUGACUCCUGAGGGAGCUGGAAAGGCUUUUUGUGGAUCUUGCACCAAGCUCCAUGGUCAACAGCUCAGAGAACUUUUAACUAGGUAUAGCUUGUCAAAUACUUUGAGCACCUCAUUGCAAUGCUUGCAUAUCUAUGAAAACAUUUCAAAGCAAAUAAAUACAUUUAAUACUUUCCUUGGUGAUACUCAUAUCUGAAAAUAUGAAGAAAAUUUCUCAACAAUGAAAGCUGAUGGUAGAUUAGCCAACUUCAUGACAGAAAUUUCUUCAAGAGGGACUUUUGAAAUGAAACAAAUGAAAAGACAGUGGGGAACAAUUCUGUAGGAGAAUGGGAUGAUGGAGUCAUGUUAUUAUUAAUUAGUGCUACUGUAACUCAAGUUCUGAAUUGGAUAUUUACUUUUACUUUUAAAAGUCUAGAUGAAGAUUUCAUAUUUAUGUGUUAGAAAAGCAUAUUGACUCCUUAAUUAGGUUUUCAAUGGAUUAAUGGAGGGUUUGCCAGUGAAUUUAGCUCAUACAUGACUAACUCAUACUGGUAUCCCCACAGCCUGAUUAAUGGCUGAAUUUCUAAAGCAUGGUUUCAUUUGGUACCCUAGCUUUUAUUAAAUGUCUUUAACUAUCACUGCAAUGAUGGAUUUCCUAAAAAUAGCUUGUGAACUACAGAUCAGUCUUUGCUGAGUCAACAAGACUAGUGGAAGACUUUCAGCCCAAGAAAAUUACACUCAGUAUAUAGUGUAGGACAAAGAAAUUUAUUUUUUUUUAUUUUAACUAACGCAAACCCAUCUCAUUCAUUGGCAAUUCUUUUUUUUUCCUGCCUUUCAUUGCAGAGGAAAUAGCAGCCUGUUUUAAAUAGGUAGUUGUAAUUCCUGCCCAACAUAGCACCCUACAGUUAUUCAUACUGUGUUUAUUCCCAUCUUAUUAUUAAUAUCAUGUAAGGGCUUAGCAAGAUUCUUCUCAUUAUCCUUCCCAAAUGAGAGCAAAAUGAACAAGCAGUUAGCUACCAAGGACUAAAGCCUGCGUGUGGGAGAACAGUAUGGUGCUAAAAGGUUAAGGAACUGGUCCUCCUUCGCCCUCUGAGGAUGUAUAUGACAAUUUUCCAGUGAGUGUGCACCAGCGUCAUGAUUUUGGCUGGGAUAGAGUUAAUUUUCUUCACUGUAGCUGGUACAGUGCUGUGUUUUGGAUUUAGUAUGAGAAUAAUGUUGAUAGCACACCGAUAUUUUCGUUGUUGCUAAGCAGUGCUUACACUAGUCAAGGACUUUUCCAGCUUCCCAUGCUCUUCCAGGGGCACAAGAAGACAGGAGGGGAGGGGGCACAACCAAGACAGCUGAUCCAAUCUGGCCAAAGGGAUAUUCCAUAUCAUAUGACAUCACGCUCAGUAAAUUAAUGGGGGGGAGCUGGCCAAGGGAAGCAGCGGCUGUGGCACAGGGACCGGUAGUGUUGGUCGGUGGGUGGUGAGAGGUUACAUCACUUGUUGUUUGUCUGGUUUCCCCUCCACCCCAGGUUUUGCCUCUCUCUCAUUAUUUUCAUUUUCAUUAUAUUAUUAUUGUUAUUAUUACUAUUAAAAUCACUGUUUUAUUUUAAUUAUUAAACUGUUCUUAUCUCA